ensembl:antisense Gm15318 predicted gene 15318
GAUUUGCACGGUUGCAGCAACAAUGCACCCGGUAAAAUCAGUUUAAAGCAGGCAGGGUUUCUUUGGCUCACAGACCCAGGCCUUGUAUAUGAAGCGUCCUCCCCUUCCCCAGGGCUUAAGUCCUAAAACCAGUGCUCCGUGCUGAAGGAUUCCAUGAAUCCCGGUUGGAUUUGGAAGCUUUGAGUGACCCAGACACAUUGUUCCUCUUCCUCCUGCUCACAGGUACGGCCAGGCUUCUGCCAGUGCUCAAGAGACUCAGAAAAGUCCAGCUUGGCAUCAAGCACCGAGAAAAGACGUUAAAACAAACCACGUGUCCCCUUCCUUCCUGGCCACAAUCUGCCUGAUGGCUGUCAAACCUUCCAGGAUACUCAAAGGCUGGCGCUUGCCUGCUGGGUUGCUGUCUUCCUCCUUCGCUUAUGCUUCCUACCAGGCUCCUAAGAACUCCUGACACCAUGCCUGCAGCUUGAGCCUGUGCCUCCCUGCUCUGGUGGACUCAUCCCUCUGGAAGUGCCGAAUUCGAGGACUAAAAGUCUGAGGGGUUGAACUGUGUCACCAGCCAGAUCCAGCCACAGAAUAGUUGUGGGAAGCUUUGACUCAAAGCAGCAAUGGGAACAUUGUUUGCAAAGUGCAAACUCAGGACUGAGGGAAUGGCUCCGUUGGCAAAGUGCCCGCCUUGCAAGCUUAGAGGACCUGUGUUCAGUCCCCGGCUCCACACAAGAAGCUGUACUGUGGAGAUGAAGGCAGGAGGGCCUCUUGAAAUUUGCUGGCCAGCCAGCCUAUCUAUUCAUCCUGGUGGGUGACUCAAAAAAGAGUGGCUCCUGAGUAAUG